GAAGGCCUCUGGGCUGUAAACCUCUUUUAUCAAGGAAGAAGAUCUGACGGUACUUGAUGAAUAAGCCACGGCUAAUUCCGUGCCAGCAGCCGCGGUAAUACGGGAGUGGCAAGCGUUAUCCGGAAUUAUUGGGCGUAAAGCGUCCGCAGGCGGCCCUUCAAGUCUGCUGUUAAAAAGUGGAGCUUAACUCCAUCAUGGCAGUGGAAACUGUUGGGCUUGAGUGUGGUAGGGGCAGAGGGAAUUCCCGGUGUAGCGGUGAAAUGCGUAGAUAUCGGGAAGAACACCAGUGGCGAAGGCGCUCUGCUGGGCCAUCACUGACGCUCAUGGACGAAAGCCAGGGGAGCGAAAGGGAUUAGAUACCCCUGUAGUCCUGGCCGUAAACGAUGAACACUAGGUGUCGGGGGAAUCGACCCCCUCGGUGUCGUAGCCAACGCGUUAAGUGUUCCGCCUGGGGAGUACGCACGCAAGUGUGAAACUCAAAGGAAUUGACGGA
rnacentral:rRNA from 1 species